AGGUGGGUAAAGGGAAGAACGAUAGAACUGAGAUUGAUCUUGUAAUUCAGGGGAUUAGUGUUCAGGUGAACAAUGACAAGAAGUUGCAGUGCAACGUGAACCCGGAGACAGAGAUGGAGAU